GGGGAGCGGCUCCGUUAGGACUGCGGCUCGCACGGCAGCCGGUCCCGCUGCUGCAGUAGCAGCACCACCAGCAGCACAGCCACCACCUGGGGGAGGGAACGAGCGUGGGGGAGGGGGCAGCUGCCAGCCCCCCAAAUCGGCGGCUCUUUAGUAGUUUGAGGGCUCUAGUGAGGCCACAGCUCUUCCCCGAGUCUCGGCGGCUUCUCCACGCCCGCUGCUGCGCCAGGCUAACGCCGCCCGCGCGGGCGGCGGUUAGCCCGCCCCACGCUGCUCCCCGCCACCAGGAGCAGGGGGUCGCAGCGGGCGCCGCUCCUGCCGGGGCGAGUACUCUCCCGGCCGCACUCGCGCGAGUACCGGCGACCGCCCGGGCGGCGGCUCGCCAGUGGCCUUCCCCCGCGCCGCCGCUUCUCAGGGAGGCCGAAGGAGCGCCGCCGGCUGCUCUGCGGCGCGGGGCCCGGUGCGGGGCCCGCGCGCCCCUCCGUGGCGUGCUCGGGUCCGGCGUGCGCCCCCCGGGAGCAGGGCAGCAGCAGCUGUGCUGUAAUAAAGGAAAGGAAGCACUACUCAUCUAGAAUGGCAUGCCACACAACUUAUUCACAGAACUAUGAUGUUAUCUGCAAUGAGAAACAAUACAAGUGGAAUAAUAAGCAUUUACAAUAAAAUGACUGAGGAUUCAUAUAAAGUCCAGAGAAGAACCAGCCAUGAAUGGUACUAGGUUUAUCAGCAACCAGAUGAAGUACUCCAUCUACUCCAGGAAGUUUAAUGACAGCAAGAUAAAUGGAAGUCUCUCACGGAUACCAGCACCUUGUGAGUAUUCCUCUAAGUGGGAGAUAAAGCAGGAUAGAUAUAUAGAGACUGAAUUACUACGGACUAAAAAUAGAAACAGUAAAAUAACUAAGCCUAUCACUUUACCCAUGGGAGUUGUUUCUACCCUAAAGAAGUGAUACUUGAAAAAUCUCUUUUAAACUUUGUAUUAAGAUUGAAACUCAGAAGAGUGUGUCACCAGAGGGAACUUUAUCAUUUGUCUUUUAAAGCGGUGGAAAACCUUAAGACAUUUUCUGUAUCUCAUUAGCCAAAUUCCCAGGUAUGAGGACCAGUUCAAUGUGUUAUACAUAUUCCACAAGUCACAAAGGAAGCUUCUGCAAUAGGAUACCGAAUCAUAGUGCAGCUUGAAAAGUUUGCCAUGUACUUUCAUUUGUAGGUAUUUGGUUUUCAGAGGAGAUGGAACAGCAAUACACGAGAAGCCAAAAGUUUUAUUACUGCUGGCCAUUCAAUCAGGUCUCUGUAUAAAAAUCAUUAAAGCCGGUGAGACUCUCUUUUUGCUCUGGGCGGUUAUGUACUUAGGUACAGUAAAAUCAUUUUUAAAAGAGUCUGUUAGCUCUAUAAUUUCCAAGGGCCUUUGAAUAUGGACUCUGCAUUGUACUUCUUUUUUGCCAUAAAUUCUGGAAAAGGAAGUACACUGUAAAGAAGAUUGCAGCUAUACUUUCUUUCAAACUGAACUAUGAAAAUGAAAUUCUUACAGAAGCAAGAAUGAUUAUGCAUUUACCUUAAAUUAUAUUGUAAGUAAAAUUACAGUAUCUCUUCAAAUUAAAUUAGAAAAUAAUCCUCAUGUCACUGUUUAUUUAACAAGAAGUAUUAGAUUAAAUGUAUCCAAAAUACAUCUACAUUUGCUAUAUUUCUUUAAUUGUCUUGUGAACGUUCACUCCAACAAAUAUUCUAGCACUCUGAGAUUUCUGUAGCAAAAAUUUGAACUUUUGUCUUUCCUUUGGUUUUGGUAUUUACCUGAAGUACUUUCAGAUUUAUAAAAACAUUUAGCCUUACAAACCUCUGAAGAGCUGGGAAGACCACGUCUCUCUCUCUUGUCUUCU